rnacentral:rRNA from 1 species
UACGUAGGGGGCAAGCGUUGUCCGGAAUCAUUGGGCGUAAAGCGCGUGUAGGCGGCCCGGUAAGUCCGCUGUGAAAGUCGGGGGCUCAACCCUCGGAUGCCGGUGGAUACUGUCGGGCUCGAGUACGGAAGAGGCGAGUGGAAUUCCUGGUGUAGCGGUGAAAUGCGCAGAUAUCAGGAGGAACACCGAUUGCGAAGGCAGCUCGCUGGGACGUUACUGACGCUGAGACGCGAAAGCGUGGGGAGCAAACAGG